AUUGAACGCUGGCGGCAGGCCUAACACAUGCAAGUCGAGCGGAGCGGCGGACGGGUGAGUAAUGCCUAGGAAUCUGCCUGGUAGUGGGGUAUCCCUUCCGGAAACGGGCGCUAAUACCACAUACUAGCAGAUGAGCCUAGGUCGGAUUAGCUAGUUGGUGGGGUAAAGGCUUACCAAGGCGACGAUCCGUACCGGGUCUGAGAGGAUGACCAGCCACACUGGAACUGAGACACGGUCCAGACGCCUACGGGAGGCAGCAGUGGGGAAUAUUGCACAAUGGGCGCAAGCCUGAUGCAGCCAUGCCGCGUGUAUGAAGAAGGCCUUCGGGUUGUAAAGUACUUUCAGCGGGGAGGCGUUACCCGACGAAGAAGCACCGGCUAACUCCGUGCCAGCAGCCGCGGUAAUAC
rnacentral:rRNA from 1 species